UACGGAGGGUGCGAGCGUUAAUCGGAAUUACUGGGCGUAAAGCGUGCGCAGGCGGUUUGUUAAGCCAGAUGUGAAAGCCCCGGGCUCAACCUGGGAACCGCAUUUCGAACUGGCAAACUAGAGUCUUGUAGAGGGGGGUAGAAUUCCAGGUGUAGCGGUGAAAUGCGUAGAGAUCUGGAGGAAUACCGGUGGCGAAGGCGGCCCCCUGGACAAAGACUGACGCUCAGGCACGAAAGCGUGGGGAGCAAACAGG
rnacentral:rRNA from 1 species